AGCUCCAAUAGCGUAUAUUAAAGUUGUUGCGGUUAAAAAGCUCGUAGUUGGAUUUCUGUGGUAGGCAGCCGGUCCACACUAUGUGUGAGUAUCUGGUUCGGCUACUGCAUCCUCCUGAGGAACGUUGGUGCGCUUCACUGCGUGGCACGGUAUUCAGGACUUUUACUUUGAGGAAAUUAGAGUGUUCACGGCAGGCGUUUGCCCUGAAUAUAUUAGCAUGGAAUAAUGAUAUAGGAUCCACGUCCUAUUUUGUUGGUUUCUAGGACGAGGAUAAUGAUUAAUAGGGAUAAUUGGGGGCAUUCGUAUUAACACGUCAGAGGUGGAAUUCUUGGAUUGUGUUACGACGAACUACUGCGAAAGCAUUUGCCAAGGAUGUUUUCA
rnacentral:rRNA from 1 species